rnacentral:tRNA from 1 species
GGGGAUUUAGCUCAGUGGUAGAGCGGUUGCCUAGCAAGCACAAGGCCCUGGGUUCGGUUCCCAGCUCUG